rnacentral:rRNA from 1 species
GACGAACGCUGGCGGCGUGCUUAACACAUGCAAGUCGAGCGGUAAGGCCCUUUCGGGGGUACACGAGCGGCGAACGGGUGAGUAACACGUGGGUGACCUGCCCUUAGCUCUGGGAUAAGCCUGGGAAACUGGGUCUAAUACCGGAUAUGACUCCAUGACGCAUGUUGUGGGGUGGAAAGCCUUGUGCGGCUAGGGAUGGGCCCGCGGCCUAUCAGCUUGUUGGUGGGGUGAUGGCCUACCAAGGCGACGACGGUAGCCGGCCUGAGAGGGCGACCGGCCACACUGGGACUGAGACACGGCCCAGACUCCUACGGGAGGCAGCAGUGGGGAAUCUUGCGCAAUGGGCGAAAGCCUGACGCAGCGACGCCGCGUGGGGAUGACGGCCU